ACCCGAAUAAAGUGGAAGAAGAUGGAUGGAGGACAAGGAAGGCCUAUCUGAUGGAGCCGUUCAUCCAUCAGGGGUCAUUUUUCCAUCAGAUCCAGUAGAUCCAGAGAUGUGGGUGUAGAAGACUUCAGAGGAGACGUCAGCAGUGGACCUGUGAGGAGGAGCAGAGACCCCAGACCCCAGACCCCAGACCCCAGACCCCAGACCCCAGACCCCAGACCAGACCAUCCCACAAAAAGCCAAAAUGACCCCACUGUGGACAAACAUUUAACCUGAAACUGUAACUACAAUAAACCACAUGAACUUCA